rnacentral:rRNA from 1 species
GCUUGCUCCCGGAUGUUAGCGGCGGACGGGUGAGUAACACGUGGGUAACCUGCCUGUAAGACUGGGAUAACUCCGGGAAACCGGAGCUAAUACCGGAUAGUUCCUUGAACCGCAUGGUUCAAGAUGAAAGACGGUUUCGGCUGUCACUUACAGAUGGACCCGCGGCGAUUAGCUAGUUGGUGGGGUAAUGGCUCACCAAGGCGACGAUGCGUAGCGACCUGAGAGGUGAUCGGCCACACUGGGACUGAGACACGGCCCAAACUCCUAGGGGGGCAGCGGGGGGGAUCCUUCCGCAUUGAACGAAGUCUGACGAACACCCCCGCGUGAGUAAUGAGGUUUUUCGGAUCGAAAAGUUCUUUUGUAGGGGAAGAACAGGGCGAAAUACUUCUCCGCCCUGGACGGUACCUAACAGAAAGCCACGGCUAACUACGUGCCACCGCGGGGUAAUACGAGGUGGCAAGCUUUGUCCGAAUUUUUGGGCGUAAGGGCUCGCGGCGGUUUCUUAAGUCUAUGUGAAGCCCCCGGUCCACCGGGAGGUCAUUGGAACUGGGAAACUUGGUCCGAAAAGAGGUGGAUCCCACGUGAGCGUAAAGGUAGAGAUUGGAGGACCCAGUGGGAGGCGCUUUUGUCCGUAACUACGCUAGACGAAAGCUUGGGAGCGAAAAGAUUAGAUACCUGGUGUCCCCCCGUAACAAUGAGUGCUCAGUGUAGGGGUUUCGCCCUAGUGCGCAGCUAAGCAUUAAGCACUCGCCUGGGAGUACGGUGCAAGACUGAAACUCAAAGAAUUACGGGGCCGCCCAACGGUGAGCAUGUGGUUUAAUCGAAGCAACGCGAGAACCUUACCAGGUCUUGACAUCCUCUGACAUCCCUAGAGAUAGGGCUCUCCUUCGGGGACAGAGUGACAGGUGGUGCAUGGUUGUCGUCAGCUCGUGUCGUGAGAUGUUGGGUUAAGUCCCGCAACGAGCGCAACCCUUGAUCUUAGUUGCCAGCAUUCAGUUGGGCACUCUAAGGUGACUGCCGGUGA